rnacentral:rRNA from 1 species
GAAACGGUAGCUAAUACCGCAUAACGUCGCAAGACCAAAGAGGGGGACCUUCGGGCCUCUUGCCAUCGGAUGUGCCCAGAUGGGAUUAGCUAGUAGGUGGGGUAAAGGCUCACCUAGGCGACGAUCCCUAGCUGGUCUGAGAGGAUGACCAGCCACACUGGAACUGAGACACGGUCCAGACUCCUACGGGAGGCAGCAGUGGGGAAUAUUGCACAAUGGGCGCAAGCCUGAUGCAGCCAUGCCGCGUGUAUGAAGAAGGCCUUCGGGUUGUAAAGUACUUUCAGCGGGGAGGAAGGGAGUAAAGUUAAUACCUUUGCUCAUUGACGUUACCCGCAGAAGAAGCACCGGCUAACUCCGUGCCAGCAGCCGCGGUAAUACGGAGGGUGCAAGCGUUAAUCGGAAUUACUGGGCGUAAAGCGCACGCAGGCGGUUUGUUAAGUCAGAUGUGAAAUCCCCGGGCUCAACCUGGGAACUGCAUCUGAUACUGGCAAGCUUGAGUCUCGUAGAGGGGGGUAGAAUUCCAGGUGUAGCGGUGAAAUGCGUAGAGAUCUGGAGGAAUACCGGUGGCGAAGGCGGCCCCC